UUCUCUUUACCCGAAUGCAGUGCUCAGUUUUUUCCACCUCUCCUUCAAAAGUUUUGUUCUGUUACCGAUUCUCCAUGCUAAAUCGAUAUAUCUUGAUUUUUCGAUAAAAAUUUCAGUAUUGCUUAGGUCUUAUGCUAUCGAAUAUCUGACGGAUUUCAGUUCCAGUUCCAGUUCCAACUAGAGGGUUUUUUUGGGGGGAAAAGGAGGGUAGUGAAAGAGAUAGAAUUCUAAUGGUGCUAGGUUCUAGGUUAUUUUAUCAGUUUGCCAUAAUUAUUUCACUGCCUUGAUCUCACCAAAUUGUAUAUAACUUCGACGUUGUGGUAAAUCUUUUCUACUUUACACUUUGAUGUUAAUUUCUCAGUUAAGGGAUAGAAAAAGAGCUUAGUACGAUAGCUUAUUACAUGUUUCUUGGUUGACACUUUAGAGCGAAGCUCGAUCAAUUAGCUUUGGUUUAGCUGAGAAGAUGAAAAGAUCAUCCAGAUUCAAAUACCACCUCUUUUGCUUAAAUUUUUUUCUGUAACAUUUGAAAGUGCAUAAUCAAAUCCUAAGACUUUGGUUUAAUAUAUGUGAUUUAGUUAAUUUUGACUUUCUAAUUAAGUCGCCUCUAUUAACAAAUAUUUUGCAUUGUCAAACAUAUGAUACAUAAUAGUGAAGCUAAUGUGUAUCAUAUUUGUGAACUUGACGUCCUAUGUUUUAUAAAAUGAUUUAUUUGAUACGCUUUUGCAGAGUAAAUUGUUACCUUACAAUUAUAUUCACUUAAUUGACCAUCAACUUUAUUGCAUCGUCCAGAUAACUUAUCUACUACUUGGAAUUUUUUAAUAUAGGCAAUUAAUUGCACGGUCUACUUCAUUUUUUGGCGAUUCUAUAAUAGGCUGAUGCACCUUGAAUUUUCACAAUUUUUGUUUCAAUCAUUUUCUUUUUGAUGAAAUUGUUUCAAUCAUUUUCUUUCUGUCUCUAUAUUGUAUUUGCAUGUAUUUAUAGUCUUAAAUUCUGCUUAAGUGAUGUGACAAGAUAAUGAUUUCUUCCAUACCUUGGUCAUUAGAUUUAUCAGAAUACCAUACAUUUGCUUUAAUUGGUUUUGGGGGGGUUUCUUCGCGAGUGGUGGAGGGGAUUAGAACUAGCUUAUGGUUUUCAGAAGCUUCUUUUUUUUUUUUUUGAAGCUCUAUCAUUUAUAUUUGGUAGAUGAUAAGUUUUUCAUUUCCAAGGUGCAAUUGAUAAUGUUUGUGCUGUCAAUUAUUUUCGAUAGGGCCCCUUUAUGUGUCAUCCGUCUUCACGUGAUCUUUCAAAGACAGGGAUCAUAUUUUAUCUUUUUGCAUUGACAUGAUACUAAACUGCAGAUAUUAGGUGCUUAAACAAGAAUUAUCUUCAAAAUCUCAAAUUUAACGUCUUUUUACCUAAGAGAUUAUCAAAAAGAAGGUUGACAGAUUGGCAUUGUAACUCUCUUCAUUUUCCUUUGUCUUGUGGAUUCUGAGAUAAAGAGGAGAAAAAAAAAUUAGAACUUUAUGAACAUGUUCUUGUGACAUUAUGGAUUUCUUCCACCCUUAGAAUUUUAUUUCUCUUGCUAAUUUUUCUUUUAUUUGAUUACUUAGCCAAGAAAUUAUUUAAUGUCUAAAUCUACAUUUAAUUUUUGUAAGAAUAAAUUUGUUGAGUAUUGAGAGGUGUUUUUUAGGAUCUUAAAUAUGAUGUUUACAUCAACACUACGGCAGAGAUCAUGGUUCCUUGAGAUGUUUGUAGCUCUGAAUAUGCGAGAAUGGGAGCACUGGUACAUUAGCUUUUCUCCUUUAUUAAUUGGUGUAGUGGGAAUACACAGAAUAGUUCAAAAUUGUACCUUGACUUCUUAGUUUAAGAACUUGAGAAAGUAAUCAGGAGAUGGAUUUUGUUAAAACUCCUUUUUCUAGCCUUACUCAAAUUCAAACAGGGAGUCCAAAUGCUGAAGAAAAAGAGAGGUAGACAACUAGGGAUACAAGUGAGGAUCAAACUCAAGUUGGCUUUUCAAGAUCGUCAGGUCAGUAUGCGAUUAUCAGGAAUGAAACUUCUAAUAUUCUUGGUGCUGCUUGUGUGAUUAAGCUUAAGUUUAUUUUGGCUCAAAUUUCUCAAUAGGCAAAUCUCCUUUUGUUCAUACUAUAUUUCCGUACAAUAAACUAAACUAGAAUGCUUUCAUUUCCCUUGGCCAAUAAGUUUAUUUUGAAAUAAAGACACUAAUCAACUUUUGGCUUAAGGGUUCUUGUGAUGACUUUAAUAAGGCAGGUGCCGAGACCAAUGAAAUAUUUUUAAUUUUUUGAGAAACCAUUAAGCUAGGUGGGGAUUCAUUUGGAUAUCUAACCUAUUACAUCCUCUAUUCUAUUUUUAAUAGAAUAGAUUGGCUUUUAAAGUUGAAACUGAAAUUACUGUUUAACUUAUUCAACAUUGCAUCCAAUGAGGUCAAACUAAAUUCUUAAAGCUCGAAAGUCAUUCAUUCUUAUCAGACUAGGAGAAAUGUCGUGAUACUUAAUCUGUGCUCAUAUUUCUUACUGGGCAGGAGCAUUACUUAUGCUACUUUGUGAAAUAAUAUAUGAGGUCAUUGGUGUUUACUGGCAUCUAGAAUUUGGGAGGCCCUCUGAUUCACUUUUGAGAUCACAAUGUUGUUUGCUAUUAAGUAUGUGUCAAAAUAGACACAUCUCUGCUAAAAUGUGAAAUUGGCAGAAUGCGUAUCUAAAAGAAUUAAACCCGUAGAUUUUUAAAUAAACGAUUUGAAUAAGAACCUACAACAAUAAACUCAGUAUAAUCCCACAUAGUGGGGUCUGGGGAUUUGAAUAAGAAACUCCUAUUAUAUUUUUAGAACCACAAGAUUUCAACUGAUAUGAGCUUUAAGCUACUUGAUUAUGCUUUCACGCUAUUAUUUUGCUAUUUGGGAUAUAUUCUUGAUUUUGCUUUCUUAACACUGCAUUACCACUGAAAGUACAAGUAUUCAUUGCUUCUCUUCACUAUUCUGAUGCCAGUAGGCAUUCUACUAAUAAUAGUACUGGUGCAAAUGGCAUUUCGAUGCAAGAUAUUUGGUGUGGACAGAGAUCACUCGAUUUAGGCCAUGUAUUUGCCGACACCAAUAUUUGGAGAAAGGUUUCUGCAACAUCCAAGUUCCCUUCCAGACAGGAUAAUAUGCCAUACAACUAUUUUCCUAUGUGUUUAUACUAAUACUAAUGUCCAAGAUGAGUUGCAAUAUCCUGAUAACAAUUUUCUUGAACUUAUUCUUCAUGAUUUAUUUACUUUCUGGUGAAAGAAACUUACCCUGAGUACAUUGGUCAUAUGGCUAUUAUAGGCAUAUGUUGAAAUGACAUAUUUUAAUCUGUUGUGUCCUUUCAUGUAGCAUAAUCCUGAUGGAUCUGAUUCCCUAUGGAAUCUAUCUUCUUCUUCCUUUCAGUAAUAGUGUUCCUUGCUGUGACAUUAUGGUUAUGCAGGUUUCCUGUUUGCUCGAGAUCGUAUUGCAAUAUCUUAUUUCUGGGAAACGCUAAAUCAGUAGGUACGCAAAUGGCAACCUAGUGUUGAAAUUAUUUUCAGAUAUUUUCUUGUGUGUGGCUAAAAUUCUCUAAUUAUAGGUGCCUUCAAUUGUGAUGCCUAAAUUUAUUAAAACAAGAUGGUAAGAAAAAGUCGUACCACUUUUAUGAGUUUUUUGUAAGGGAUAUUUGUAUACAGUCGAAAUCGGGCUCCUCUAUUGCAUGACAGAUCGGGAUAAAAAAAAUAGAUUAAAGAUCGACUCCGGGCUCCAUCGAACUAGGGUACGAGGUUAGAACACCUGUCUUCGGGAUCAUUAAAUCCAUGACCCCGGAAUCGACCCCGACUCCGAAUGAGCUCGAGGAAAUAUUGUCGGACCAAAUAAUGGGAAGCCAAAAUAUCCGUAACCGGUCGGGUAUCACGGCGGAAAUCUCAGCAUGUAUUAAUGAGAAACCGGUUAAUUAGCAAAUCAUAAGAUUUUUUACCUUUUAUAGAAUUGUACCUAAAGUAGGAUUCCCCUACUAUAUAAAGGGGGUCUGAUUAUUUGUAAAACACAUUGCAACACGCAGCCAAAGUAUUAUAAUAUAAUUUCUUCCUGCAAGCUACUGUUCUUCUGUAUCUGAUAUUAUUUGAAUUACAUCCAGUUUGAGUGAGACUUAUUUUUCAAGGUUAUAACUGUUCAAAUCAUACGGUUUGAAUUUACUUUAUUAUUGUUUGCGUUAUUUAUAAUUCAAUUUAUCGCUUUGUGUCAAAUUAACCCAUGUAUCCUUAAAAUCACUUAUAAAUUCAAUUGUUAUCCGAUUUUAAAGGUAAACAGUUUGGCGUCCAUCGUGGGGCUAAGAAUAAUAGUAGUUAUUUGAUACAAAUUUUCAUAAUACACACUAUUUUACACUGGUUCUUUGAAGUGUCUCUAAUUUCAGGCUUAAGCUCAAAAUGUCAAACUCACAAUUAACACCUCUACCUGCUGACAAUGAGUCAGGUCACCACGGUGAAAACAAAAACAUAGCGCCCGGUAACGAGGUACCACCCGUUGAUUCCAUCAGAAUUUUAAUUGCGGAAUUCCGGACCCGUUGGACGCUAAUUCGCAUGUGGCUAUCGACACAAGCCUCCCUACUGGCCCCGAGAAUAGCAUUCAUGGUGGAGCCCGGUCGACAACACAAAAUACUCAAAAUAAUGGAGGAGACGAGAUCAAUCUACGGAUGGUCUUCGAAAUGUUACAGGCUCAACAGACGGUGAUAGCUCAGUUACAAAACCAGAGUCGCGUACCGAGCAGAAUCGAGCUCGAUCUGUCUCGAGAGAUCACCCUCAGGGAGGUACCGGUCGCGGAGAGAUCGAGUCGAGUAAUAACCUCGAGAUCAUAAAAAUGCUCGAGAAGCUGACACAACGAAUAGAAUCAAGGGAAAAGAAAAUCGAAGCAAACGACAAAAAGGUGGAAGCCUACAAUUCCAGGAUCAACCAGAUCCCAGGAGCGCCGCUGAUACUGAAAGGCUUGGAUUCCAAGAAGUUUGUACAGAAACCUUUCCCUCUGAGCGCGGCUUCAAAGUCGAUCCCUAAAAAAUUCCGCAUGCCCGAGAUUCCUAAGUACAACGGAACAACUGACCCAAACGAGCAUGUAACUUCAUACACAUGCGCCAUCAAAGGAAAUGACUUGGAGGAUGAUGAGAUCGAGUCUAUCUUGCUGAAGAAAUUCGGAGAAACCCUGUCAAAGGAAGCUAUGAUAUGGUAUCACAACUUACCCCCUGAUUCUAUUGACUCAUUUACUAUGCUUGCAGACACUUUUGUGAAAGCGCACGCUGGGGCUAUCAAGGUCGAAACUAGGAAGUCGGACCUCUUCAAAGUAAGGCAAAAGGAUAAUGAAAUGCUAGGAGAGUUCGUAUCUCGGUUUCAAAUGGAACGGAUGGACCUGCCACCGGUCGCUUAUGAUUGGGCCGUUCAAGCUUUUACCCAAGGAUUCAAUGUUCGAAGUUCGGUGGCUUCAUAGUAGUUGAAUGCCGGCAGUGGAUUCUGGGAAAGCACGUUUGAUUGCACCGUCCCAUACAUUGUCUCAUCCAAUCCCAACAGGAAAAGAUGUACCUUCUCCUCUUCCUUUUUCUUCUCCAAAAUUGUACCAAGAUUACAAGUGCAGUUUCUGCACUUUCAAGUCGGAAUCUACUCGAGAUUCGCUAGCUCUUCCUAUAGUUUCAUCAGUUUGCCACGGUAAUCAACUAUGGCCAAACCCUUUUGUUUGCAUUCUGCAAGAUCUUCCUUCAUAUUGUAUCUUGGACCAUUGCUUAUGGAAAAACGCUCCCUAAUACAUGCCCAUAAGUCUUCGACGACCUCCACAUGCGAGAUAGUCGAAUGGAGAGUGGUUUCGAUCGUAUUUUGUAUCCACAACACCAACAAUGAAUUAAUGAUCCACCAAUCUUCAAGGUCUGAAGACUUCUCCUCCGUUCUUUUGAUCAUCCCGUUAACAAAAAUCGAACUUCUUUAUUUCCCUCAACUUGGUCCUCAUAGACCUAGCCCAUUCAUCAUAAUUUUCUCCCUUCAAUUGAACUUGCGUUAUCAGAAUCUUAGGGUUGUCGUUCGAAGUUAUCAUAUGGAAAAAUUGUUUUUCGUCGGUUUGUUCCAUUGGCGUCACAGCUUCCUCCAGCAGUAUUGUCGUCUUUUUGUCGCCGGGGUCAUGGGUGAUUAACGGAGGUAAUUUAGGUAGGCUCUGAUAUCAUGCUAAAUCAAAGAGGCACGACUAGUGGAGAGAAAAACUGCUCUGCGCUCUGCCUUUUUCUUUGAUAGUAUGCCCUAUAUAUAUAGUAAGAUAAGAAGUAACCCUAAGUACCCUAAAACUAGGUUAACUAAUUAUAGAAUAUUACCAUAUUUAUAAAGAAUCACGGCUUGGCAUAGUGAGUGCGCCACACCCAUAUAACACUGAAUUUGGGUGCUAUAUUAGGUGCUGGGCACUGAGGAUAGCAUUGACUUUAGGUGCUAUAUUGGAUGCUAGGCAUUGAGGAUAGCACCCAAGAUAUACACACGCUAAUAUAUGUUUUUGUAUAAAACCACACCGAACUACUCGAUACAUUAUUUGCUUGGUCACUUAUUUUGCAGAAUGUAAACAUAAUAUAUAGAGUUUAACUAUGACAGAGAUGAGGACUAGAGAAGUACAGUACAAGGAAAUAACAACAGCUGUUAUCCAGCAGACUUAAUUUGACUUGCUUCCAACUUCAUCAGAUUGAUGCAAUAGUCUUUGACAUGCUUCCAACUUCAUUUGAAUAAUACGGUCUAGUGCUUUUAAAAUGGCUACUUCGGCUGCUACGGUAUCAACUGUCAGGGUUAUUUGACUUAUUUCACAAAAACAUAACACAUUUGUUCCUUCCUAUUCACUUUUUACCUUAUCUGCUUCUUCAUCCUUCUCUCAGGUUCAUUACUGGCCAACAAGCUUUAUAUUUUAUAUUUUCUCUUAAGUGAUUUUUGUUGGUAAAUGUUUACAACAAAUUAUUUGUGAUAUAAAAAUAAAUUGCAACCACAAUAUAAAUAUGAAGAAGCACAAUUUUAUUAAUAAACAAUGCAGGUACAAUUCCGUUUGUUCCCUUGAUUCUUCUCCCCUGAUUAUCUCCAUGGUUCGAGGGUUGGAGCAACUUGUUUCUUGAAUGUAGAUUAAUAAUUCUAUGGCUACCAAGAACAAGAGACAGCUGUUACGACCCGGAAUUCCCACCGUCGGGAUCGUGAUGACGCCUAACAUUUCACUUGCUAGGCAAGUCAACGUUAGAACAGUUUAUCCAUUUUUAACAGUUUGAAUUAAAUACUGAGAAAGAACUGAAAUAAUCUAAAAUAUAAAUGCGGAAGCUGAAACUGCCAAACAUCUACCAGAAAUUCCUGAACCCGGUGUCACAAGUGCACGAGCUACUAGAAUAAUACAUACAAGGGUCUGAAAUAAAUACAAAGCUGUCUGAAUGAAAUUGCACAGCUAAAUAAAAGGAAGAGAAUGGGACUCUAGGAGCUGCGGGCAAUGAGCAGUUGUACCUCAAGUCUGCAUACGAUGUCCAAUCCGAGCUUAUUAAUAACUGCUGCUGGGACCGACUCCAAAAUCUGCACAAGAUGUGCAGAGUGUAGUAUGAGUACAAUCGACCCCAUGUACUUUGUAUGUGCCGAGCCUAACCUUGAAAGUAGUGAUGAGGCUAAGGCGGGUCACCUACACUACAACCCGUACGCAGUAUAUAAUAAUGACAAAAUAGAAAUAUAGAAUAGGAUAAAAUAGUCAACUGAGAAUAAUAGCUACAACCUCAAGAAAUAAACUAGAGUUGUUCAGAAUUACCAAUCCUUAGCAUUUUAAGUGAGAAUACCAUAAGCCAAUACAACUCAAGAAAUAGAAACACAUAGGUUGUUGCUGUGCGCAACCCGAUCUCACCGUACAACACAGAAUCCUCCCUUAUUUUACCUUAAUAACAUCAACAAUAGAGAUAAUAUAUAAAUGUUGCGGCACGCAACCCGAUCCCACCAUAUAUCAAUAUCAGUAUCAUAAUUCACCCUUAUUCUACCUGUUGCGGCAUGCAAUCCGAUCCCACCGUACAGUAUGAAUUCAUCCUUAUUCCACCAUAUCAAUCCACCCUUAUUACUCUUGUUGCGGCGUGCAACUCGAUCCCACCAUAUUAGUACCAGAUACUCAAUGUGCACAGUCAAAUUAACAAUUCAAACCACGAAAACCAUUAUGAUCAAUAAAUACCAAACUGAACCAGAGAGGAAAAACCUUGUACAAUACAUGAAUCUACAUAAGUAAUACUACACGACGAGACCAAUCCAGUAAUUGACAAUUAGAAGGUGCAAGUAAGUCAAUUUAAGCAAAUAACAGAGAAUCAUGAAAUUGUGAAAAGAGCUAACAUCAUUAACAAGAGAAUAUAUUGAUUAACAGGUAACAAUUAAGCAUGGAACGCAUUUAGAGCAUAUAACAGUUAAGACGGGGAAGAAAAUAAUUAAGGAAAAGCAGAAAAUCAGGGGAAAACAGAUUAUUCGACGGCAUAUAAGUACUCGUCACCUCGCGUAUACGCUGCUCACAUGAGAUUCACAUAGCACAUAGUCCGAGGGUUCCUAAUUCCCUCAAGUCAAGAUUAGACACAAUACUUACCUCACUCCGCAGUCAAUUCAAAGCUCUACCGGGGCCUUUCCUCUAGAAUUCGCCUCCAAACCACUUGUAUCUAGCCACAAUUAACGCAAUAAUAUCAAAUAUUGCUAAAGGAAUAAAUUACAAUGUAUAAAUUUUGAGUUCCCAAACUUUUCCCCAAAAAGUCAAAAAUCAACCCCGGGCCCGCUUGGACAAAACUCGAGGUUCGACCAAAAUCCAUUUACCCAUUCACCCCCGAGCCUGGUUAUGUAAUUUGUUUCGAAAUCUGACCUCAAUUCGAGCUCUAAAUUCUAAAUUUACAAAAAUUUCUAAUUCUACCCGAACCCCCGAUUUUCACAAUGAAAAUCCUAGAUUUUAAGUUGAAAACUUAUGAAAUGCAAUAGGUUAUUGAAAGAAAGUAAGUUAGAAUCACUUACCAAUAAAUUGGAGAAGAAAAUCUCUUGGGAAAACCGCCUCUAGGUUUUCUAGUUUUUGAAAUUUUGAAAAAAAUGGCGAAAUCCCCUUUUUCUGGUCUGUUUUAAUCAGUGGCUUCAGGCCUUCUUCGCGUUCGCGAAGCGCUUGCCGUGAUUGCGAAGCAUCGGCUUAAAUAGCCUACGCGUUCGCGAGAUACCUUCGCUUUCGCGAAGGCUUAUACCCACCAGCCUACGCAUUCACGAGCCAUGUGUCCCGUUCGCGAAGAGUAUAGAUCAAUUCCCCUCCCCCAGGUCUCAUGCCUACGCGUUCGCUAGAGGCUGGUCACGUUCGCGAAGGGUAAUGCCCCCACUACUCCGCGUUCGCGACCCAACCUUCACGUUCGCGAAGAAGAAUUUUCACCUGGUCCCAGUUCACUCUUCGCGUUCGCGAAAGUACCUUCACGAACGCGAAGAAGGAAAGCUGAAGACACCUGAAGCUGCAGAAAAACCAGAUUUUCUAAGUUCAAUUCACUCCGUAGCCUAUCCGAAACUCACUCGAGCACUUGGGGCUCCAAAUCAAACAUGCACACAAGUUCAAAAAUAUCAUACGAACUUGCUCGCGUGAUCAAAUCACCAAAAUAACACCUAGAACUACGAAUUGAACACCAAAUCAAAUGAAAUUUUUAAGAAAACUUUAAAACUUCUAUUUUCACAACCGAACGUCCGAAUCACGUCAAACCAACUCAGUUUCUCACCAAAUUUGACAGAUAAGUCAUACAUAUAAUAAUGGACCUGUAUCAGACUCCGGAACAAAAAUACGGACCCGGUAUCAACAAGGCCAAACAUCAGUCAAUCUUUAAAAUCAUUAAACUUUCAAACUUUUAAUUUUCAACAAAAAUUAAUAACUCGAGCUAGGGACCUCCGAAUUUGAUUUCGGGCCCAGAUCUUAAAUUACGAUACAGGCCCACUGAAACCGUCAAAACACGAAUCCGGGUCCGUUUUCUCCAAACAUUGUCCAAAGUCAAUUCAAAUGAAUUUUAAGGCAAAUAUUUCGUAUUUUCUCAAUUUUUAACAAUAAAGCUUUCCGAAAAAAUACCCGAACUGCGCAUGCAAAUCGAUGAGGGUUAAGAUGAGGUAUUUAAGACUUCAAAACACGGAAUUAGGUUCUAAAAUAUAAGAUGACCUAUCGGGUCAUCACAUUCUCCACCUCUAAAACAACAUUUCGUCCUCGGGCUGGGCUUGGAAAGCAUAACAUCGGGGCUGGGCCCCACCACUCUAAGCUACAUCCUUAGGACAGCCUUCUGUUGGCUGACCUCUACCUCUAGCUCCCUAACUGCUACCUCUAACGACCUGAACCCUACCUCUGGCUGCCUGAACCCUACCUCUAGCUGGCUAAGCGAGAGAUGGUGCAACCGGUGCCGAAAUCAUGGCACGAGAACUUUGCUGUGGCGUGCCGCCCAAUAAUCUCGGACAAGUCCUCAUGAUAUGCCCAAAACCACCACACUCAUAACAUCCAUCCUGGUGUUGUGGCUGCUGAAACUGAGACUGGCCCAAACGGGCCGGAUAAACACGGUAGUAACUCUAAAUAGGAGGUGUACUGAUAGGAGCUGGCGGUGCACUGUAGGUUGGCUGCCCAGAAUGAGGCACAUAAAGACCACGACUCCCUGAAGCAUUGUGGGAUGCAUGAAGCAUUGACUGAUAUGGCCUGUGAGGAUGACCCCUAUCAAAAGUACCCCUGCCUCUAGAUGAGGUGAUAAGUUGGUAUUUUACCAACUUAUCUUGCCUUUAAGCCUAUAUUUUUGCUAUGUUUGAGUGAUAAAAUCAUGUGUUUAAUGUCAUUUACUUCUAUUUUAUAGGUUCUUUGUGAUUUAGAAGUGAUUAUGAAGAAACCAAAUGAAAACGAGUGAAAAAGACAUUGAUAAGAAGAAAAUCUGAAAAACGGCCUUAGAUGUCGCAAUUGCGACACAUUUCUGGGAAAUGCGAAGAAAGCAGACAUGGGAAUUACGAGUAAUCCAUCGCAAUUGCGAAGUAACCCCAGUCAAGCUGUGUUCGCAAAUGCAAAAUCAAACCAGGUAGUCAACCUUCGCAAAUGCGAAGUCUUGAUCGCAAAUGCGAAAGUUAACAGGAUAGUCAAAGUUCGCAAAUGUGAAUAUCACGCUGCAGUUCUGGGCAAUUAUGACAUUUCACAUUUUCUGGCCCCAAACCCUUUAAUACACAAACCAGCUCAUUUGAAAUAUAUCUUUGGCUUAUUUUCAGUCCUCAAGACUAGAGAG
rnacentral:lncRNA from 1 species